UACAGAGGGUGCAAGCGUUAAUCGGAAUUACUGGGCGUAAAGCGCACGUAGGCGGCUUUGUAAGUUAGAGGUGAAAGCCUGGGGCUCAACUCCAGAAUUGCCUUUAAGACUGCAUCGCUUGAACGUCGGAGAGGUGAGCGGAAUUCCGAGUGUAGAGGUGAAAUUCGUAGAUAUUCGGAAGAACACCAGUGGCGAAGGCGGCUCACUGGACGACUGUUGACGCUGAGGAGCGAAAGCGUGGGGAGCGAACAGG
rnacentral:rRNA from 1 species